CGGUGUUCAACUGGCGUGUCCGCGGGACGUCCUGCCGGUGGGCUUAGCCCGCAAGGGCGGCCCAACUUCAAAUCCCAUCGCGGUGCUCUUCACUGAGUGUCGAGGUGGGCCGGCACGUUUACUUUGAACAAAUUAGAGUGCUUAAAGCAGGCUAAAACUUCGCCUGAAUACUGUGUGCAUGGAAUAAUGGAAUAGGACCUCGGUUCUAUUUUGUUGGUUUUCGGAACCCCGAGGUAAUGAUUAAUAGGAACGGAUGGGGGCAUUCGUAUUGCGACGUUAGAGGUGAAAUUCUUGGAUCGUCGCAAGACGGACAGAAGCGAAAGCAUUUGCCAAAAACGCUUUCAUUGAUCAAGAACGAAAGUUAGAGGUUCGAAGGCGAUCAGAUACCGCCCUAGUUCUAACCAUAAACGAUGCCAGCUAGCGAUCCGUCGACGUUCCUCCGAUGACUCGACGGGCAGCUUCCGGGAAACCAAAGCUUUUGGGUUCCGGGGGAGGUAUGGUUGCAAAGCUGAAACUUAAAGGAAUUGACGGAAGGGCACCACCAGGAGUGGAGCCUGCGGCUUAAUUUGACUCAACACGGGAAACCUCACCAGGCCCGGACACCGGAAGGAUUGACAGAUUGAGAGCUCUUUCUUGAUUCGGUGGGUGGUGGUGCAUGGCCGUUCUUAGUUGGUGGAGCGAUUUGUCUGGUUAAUUCCGAUAACGAACGAGACUCUAGCCUGCUAACUAGGCGUAUUUUCGACAUCUCAAAGGUCCGUCGUCCCGGCCCUCGGGUCGUGGGCGUGCGCGAUUUUUACUGUCGGCGUACUAUCAAUUCUUCUUAGAGGGACAGGUGGCUUCUAGCCGCACGAGAUUGAGCAAUAACAGGUCUGUGAUG
rnacentral:rRNA from 1 species